AGGUUAAUACACUGAUCCUGUCUGGGGCUAUGUGCUCUUCUCUUGUGGGUUGAGUACAUGUUCUGACCAGGAGGUUGGUUCCUUGACAUGCAUGCUGGGAUUGCAUGCAGAUUGCAGAUUACUCACUAGACUUUCAUCAUGUGAUAUAUCCAGGGUCCGUGUAGGUUUACAGGCGUGACGCACACAGACAGCAGGCUUACUGGAGGUUCACUAAUGCCCAUUACAAUCCGAGGCAAGAUGAUGUGGACUUGGUUGUAAUGAGUUUGAUUGGAAGAUUUUGUAGAGGCACCACAGCACCCAUGCAAUGAGCUAAGGACGGGUCUUCUCAACCACAAAUAGACUGGUAUCCAUUGUGGUCUGGGUUAUUGAUCUCAGCAGGUUUAAAGUCUCAAAACUACCCUGGCAGCAUAAGGAUUUGCAUUCCUUGUGUGAAAUUAGAAGAAUUGUAAGUGAUACUGUGCUGAGGUAGUGUUUCGUUGGUUUUUGUUUAUGUAAGCAACAUGCACUCAAUUGCAUGAAAUCCGUUCAUCAGGAAUGCAUUCAUGGCGUUACCUCUUCAAACACGCUGGUGUUAUUUCAUCCUGUAUCUUUCACGUCUAUAAGGAAUGGAGUUUAAAAACAAUCACAGGAAAGACUGGAGUGUUAUGGAAUUUCCAUAUGGCAAUAGUGGUUUUUGGAACAUGCAAGACAAAUGUGCAGCAUGUUUCAAAUAGAUCUUUACUAGUCUAUUACCCAGAAGAAAUCCUAGCAGACCAUCACUUUGCCAGCAAAGCAACACAAUGGAUUUGAAGCAAAUGGUUCUUGAUAUUGAUAUUGUAAUAUUGUACUGCAAUGAAAUUCGUAUGUAUGUGUUUUAAUACAGUAAUUUAGCUAUUUCAAAAUAUGAAAAUGAUGUGUCGCAUAAAUAACAUCAGAACACGAAGCAAUUAGAGCCAACAUGCUUUGCGGAUUUAUAUUUUGAAACAUGAACAGAAAGAGAGUGCCCGUGUGCCAGUCUAUUAGGAAACAGUUUUGUUGUUCCUUUUAUAACAUACCCCCAAGACAUUCUAAAAAUACUGCACUACUCGGAAAGAUAAUUGUAGUUUCAAAUUCAUGGGAAUAUGCUUCCAAUAAACCUGAUGGAUGGGAACCAGCAAUUUAACCUUUAAGCAAAUACGUGUACAGAAGGUGGAAGGCCAAACACAACACAGCCAAUAGUUUUUUUAACACUUCAUCUUGAUAUUUCUGGAAAGCCGGAAUGUGUGGACCAUUUGAAUUUUUAUUUAAUCCCUGUCAAUAUAGCAGGUUUAAAGUUUAACCACGGCAGUAUUAAGAGCGGAUAAUAAUUAAAACCUCCCGUGUGUCUUCAAAUGUGCUCUUCUUUCAAAGACAAACAAUAACAUAAAAGAUAGUGUUUACUCAGAGUCUUACAACUGCCAGAACCAAUUUUCAUAAAAUACAGAUAAUUGUGAAAAUAUGUCUGUGUUUGUGUAGCUGAGCAGACUUGUGAUCUUUGUGUAUUUUAAAUCAUUAUCCAAUUAAAAGCUCAACUUGUGACUCGAGAUAUGAGCUGAUGUCACACAGUCAAGUGCAAUAAAACAUUUGCACUCUGAUUUAACUUCAUUUGGAAGAUGCUUAGGUAGAGAUGGGACAUCACAGGAAUCUGACCAAAAAUUUUUUCAAAACAUGAACUAAAGGUACAAUGCGUUAUAACAUCGCAGCAUAUGAAGACAUCGGCACAGAAAUUAGAACUUUAUUUGAAACGCAAUGUCUUGUUUAAUGACCUUAUGUCCAGUGUUGUUUUCUAAAUCAACUGAGCUGCCAAGCAAAUGUCACCCUGCCCUGAAAAAUUGGUCAAGCUUAUCCCAAAGGAUCUUGGGAUUGGGAUUCUGUGAAGGGGUUGGGUCCGGGUUGGGUCUGCCUAACCACCCAGAUACAGAUCUAAAUCCCCAUGCCUUCCAGGUGAAACUCAGACAGGUGUCACCCCUACCAUGUGUAUACAAUGAUGGUGACAAUCCUGAUUGUAUUAUAUUAUAGAUAUAGACGCAGGUAUAUGUUCAGCAAUGGUCUUGUUCAGAUGUAGCACUGUUUUUUUUCUGAGCUAAUGCAAAAAGCGACCUGGUUUCAGGGCUUCGACAGAGACAGAUCCUGCCUCAUCAUCUGCAGCUGCCUCUUUGCUUUAUAAGACCCAGCACUAGCCAAGCAUAUCAAAAGAAAGCCCAGUGCGGGCUCAAGGCUACACGCUGGAGAGUUUUCUGCUCUUAUUAUUUUUGGCAGGCUGGUCACUUAGGCCCCUAGGUCAGGUCUAUGAAAUCACAGCAAGAACAAAUUACUCUCAUCUGAGAAAAUAAAAGCAGCUGUUUGUAGCCAGCCUGGUCCCUUGGGUAAUGUAAUGUAGCUGGGCAAUUAGCCCGCAUGGGUGUGGAGAAAUUGAUUGGCUUUCAGCCGUGAUACCAUGUUGCUCAUCUGGUUGAAAUAAACAAUGGAAAAAUAAAACAUCAAGAAAAGCAUGUUGCCCCAGUUGUAUAUCAGUGUUACAAGGCUAAAAUGACUACAAGGCUAGAAUACUGACUUCCUUACAGUACAUGAAGUAAAUGUCCUUUUUUUUUGUAAUUUAAAACACAACAGCUUCACUUUCUUUUGAUUGAUUAUAAAAUUGAGGCUCAUUCAAAUUUGAUAUCGGUCUGGUAUAGCCUCUUGUGUGGCCAACUACAUGUAUGCUUGCCAUUUGUUAUAUAUAUACUCGCCACUUUAUUAGGGCCUGUGCCUAUUAGUAGGUUGUGCCACUGUUUGCCUAAUCCCUGCUUUGAUGGGUCGUGCCACCCAGACACCACCCAGUGUCUAUGUUGUAUGAGGGGUGGAAUAUAACUGUUUACAGGAAUGAAUGAAUGAUGUUAGGGUUACCUAUACUGAAAAUAAUUACUCAAUUACAUUAAAAGGUACACAUUUAAAAAAAAAAUGUUUGACCCUAUACAAAAUGAACAUGGUCCUUUGAGCUUGAUGCUUUAACAAUCUGGUUGUAAAAACCCUAGAAACCAUUCAAUUUAUUCUGGCUUGACUUAAAGCUUGCCAAAGAUUGCCCAAUUACUGUACAAUUUUUAUUAAAAUGUUAUUUCAACUCCA